rnacentral:rRNA from 1 species
CUCGUAGGCGGUUCGUCGCGUCCGGUGUGAAAGUCCAUCGCUUAACGGUGGAUCCGCGCCGGGUACGGGCGGGCUUGAGUGCGGUAGGGGAGACUGGAAUUCCCGGUGUAACGGUGGAAUGUGUAGAUAUCGGGAAGAACACCAAUGGCGAAGGCAGGUCUCUGGGCCGUCACUGACGCUGAGAAGCGAAAGCGUGGGGAGCGAACA